rnacentral:rRNA from 1 species
UUYUUUUUGAGUAUAAUUUAAAGUAAGGCCUGCCCMCUGAAUUUUGAAGGGCCGCAGUAUUUUGACUGUGCAAAGGUAGCAUAAUCAUUAGUUUUUUAAUUGAAAGCUGGAAUGAAGGGUUAAAUAAAAAAAUAAUUGUCUCAAAAUUAAUAAUAGAACUUUAUUUUUAAGUAAAAAAGCUUAAAUUUUGUUAAAAGACGAGAAGACCCUAUAGAGUUUAAUUUUUUUUAGUUAAUUAAUUUUUAAGAAUUUAAUUUUUAGUUUUUUUAAAAAAUUUAAUUGGGGUGAUUGAAAAAUUGAAUUAACUUUUUUUUUAUUAUUACAUUAAUAAAUGAAUAUUUGAUCCAUUUGUUGAUUAUAAGAUUAAAUUACCUUAGGGAUAACAGCGUAAUUUUUUUUAAAAGUUCUUAUUGAAAAAAAAGAUUGCGACCUCGAUGUUGGAUUAAAAUUAAUAAAUGGUGCAGAAGCUAUAUA